AGCUCCUACUCUUCCAGCCCUCGGUGGAUUUCUUGGUUCAGAGUCGCUAAAGUUCUGAUGAGGAAUUGGAGUUAAAUGACAAUAUUGAUACGUAAAGGCAUUAUCUCAGGAACCAAAUCCAGCUCGUGGAUAACUUUGGUGAUAUCAAUGACAAGGCGCUCUGCAAAGGUACGCGAAAAGUCCUCCCUGAUUACAACACGGAGCACUGUCACGUGUUCUGCAUCUGGUGGCAUGGUGUAUGCUGGCACUAUCCAACCAAAGCGCCUCAGCAUAUCAGAAAUUUGGAAUUCGUUAAACUGGCUGUGGUCCUUCAAAGUGAAGGCCACUAAUGGUACGCCUUCGUCUUUAGAUACAAUGUCAAACCGACCCGUUUUCUCCAGUCCAUCCUUAAGUACCAUCAUGUUGUCUUUACAAUUUUCCAUCACAUUUCUAUAUCCCUACAAACCCAAUUUAACACAGAAUUCAUCAGUUAUAUACAACAUUAUGUAAUUAUAAAAGGAUGACCUGGUGCUGUAAAGUUCUGACUUAUAUCAUUUAUAGCCUCUGCGAUCUCUUCAGUCGCAUCACGGUCAUUGGAUUAAUCUAACGGAGAGAUAUAAUACUCUCAGCCGUUAAACUUAUCCAAUGAUUGAAGUGUGUCUGAACUGGAAAAAAAGGCUUAUGCGAUAAGCGCUUAAUUAGGAUGUUUGAUAAGUACUUGUGAGUUUACAAAUAACUCACAUGUAGAUUAUAGCAACAAAUUGAUUAUAAAUUGGUUGCUAGAGUUUGUCA